CAGACUUUGGUCUGCCUGCCUCCAGAGCCUCGGAAACAGUCCUUUGAAUCUGUCUGGUCUAUACUGGAUUCACAGGUGUUUCUGGAGGGUCAGGACAUGGGAGUGGCCAGCCUCCAGCCCCUUUUACAACAGAUCCUGAACAGUAUCGCCAGCGACUCUGCCUACAUUCCUGCCUAGCGGUUGGUUCCUGGACUGGGUAGGGUCCAAAGUUGCCCUGAAGAGUGUCCCCUUGAAAGUGAGUGGCCUCAAAAAUAAGCAGCUGUUUUCCUGAUCAUCCUUGAUAAGGACUCCGAAGGAGGCAUACCGCCAGGAUUGGCAUGAGUAAGAGGUCCCACGCGGGCCUUGUCAGCCUGUCCUUUGGCUAAGCAAUUUUAUUCCCGGGAAUUUGGUAUGAGGCAAUCACCUCUGGGUGCAGAGGACCCUAAGGGAUGCCUAUCAGAGUUCCAGUUCUGGUCCUGGCAAAUCGGCCUGUUCCAGUGCUCUUUAGCGAGGCUCG
rnacentral:lncRNA from 1 species